GUUGCUCAGUGGUAAAGUGUCUGCUUUGCAUGCAGAAGGUCCCAGGUUCAAUCCUUGGCCUUUCUCA